rnacentral:rRNA from 1 species
UGAGCAGCCUGCCCUUGACUCCGGAAUAACAGCUGGAAACAGCUGCUAAUACCGGAUAUGACCUCCGAUGGCAUCAUCUGGAGGUGGAAAGCCCCGGCGGUCAAGGAUGGGCUCGCGGCCUAUCAGCUUGUUGGUGAGGUAACGGCUCACCAAGGCUUCGACGGGUAGCCGGCCUGAGAGGGCGACCGGCCACACUGGGACUGAGAUACGGCCCAGACCUCUACGGGA